AUCUCCCCACACAUUGCCCCACAUCUGCCCCAUACUCUGACCCACACAUUGCCCCACAUCUCCCCACACUCUGCCCCACAUCUGCCCCACAUCUCCCCACACUCUGCCCCCCGUCUGCCCCACAUCUCCCCACACUCUGCCCCACAUUUGGCCCCCCAUUUGCGCCCCACCGCGCCCCACACCUCCAUGACUCCGCGUUCCUCCGUCCAAAAGCGAAAGAGAAACUGCGGCGCCGAAGCCCCGCCCACACCCGGAAGUGGGAGCACAAAACCCCGCCCACACCCGGAAGUGGGAGCACAAAACCCCACCCAGACCCGGAAGAGGGAGCACAAAACCCCGCCCACACCCGGAAAUGGGAGCAGAAAGCCCCGCCCACACCCGGAAGUGGGAGCAGAAAGUCCCGUCCACACCCGGAAGUAGGAGCAGAAAGUCCCGCUCAAACCCGGAAGUGGGAGCACAAAACCCCGCCCACACCCGGAAGUGGUGGGUCGGAGGCAUUUAGUGUGUGGGGCGGAGUGUGGGGCGGCCCCAACGGGCUCAGCUGUGGGGCGAUGGGGGGCUGGGGGGGCACUUGUGGGUCUCACUGUGGGGCAGAGGGGUCACUUGUGGGGCAGAGGAAGCACUUAUGGGUCUCACUAUGGGGCAGAGGGGUCACUUGUGGGGCCGGGGGGCAUUUGUGGGUCUCACUAUGGGGCAGAGGGGUCACUUGUGGGUCUCAUUAUAGAGCAGAGGGAGCACUUGUGGGGCUGGGGGGGCACUUGUGGGUCUCACUAUGGGGCAGAGGGGUCACUUGUGGGGCUGGGGGGGGCACUUGUGGGGCUGGGGGGCACUUAUGGGGCUGAGGAGUCAGUUAUAGGUCUCCAUAUGGGGCUGAGGGGGCACUUGUGGGCUGGGGGGCACUUGUGGGUCUCACUGUGGGGCAGAGGAAUCACUUGUGGGGCUGGGGGGUCACUUGUGGGGCUGGGGGGGCACUUGAGGGUCUCACUUUGGGGCUCAGGCCAAUCAGAGAGCGAGUUGCCUCAGAGAGAGGUGGGACGGGAGAUCGGCCCAAUCAGAGAGCGAGUUGCCACAGAUCAGGGUAGGAAGGACGGGAGCUCGGGCCAAUCAGAGAGCGAGUUGCCACAGUGCAGCAUAAGACGGACAGGAGCUCGGGCCAAUCAGAGCGCGAGUUGCCUCAGAGAGAGGUGGGACAGGAGGUCGGACUAAUCAGAGAGCGAGUUGCCUCAGAGAGAGGUGGGACAGGAGAUCGGUCCAAUCAGAGAGCGAGUUGCCACACAGCAGGAUAGGACGGACGGGAGCUCGGACCAAUCAGAGCGCGAGUUACCUCAGAGAGAGCUGGGACGGGACCUCGGCCCAAUCAGAGAGCGAGUUCCCACAGGGCAGGAGAGGACGGACGGGAGUUCGGACGAAUCAGAGAGAGAGAGGCCACAGGGAAGGAUAGGACGGACGGAAGCUCGGGCCAAUCAGAGAGCGAGUUACCUCAGAGAGAGGUGGGACGAGAGAUCGGCCCAAUCAGAGAGCGAGUUGCCACAGGGCAGGAGAAGACGGACAGGAGCUCGGGCCAAUCAGAGAACGAGUUGCCUCAGAGAGAGGUGGGACAGGAGAUCGGUCCAAUCAGAGAGCGAGUUGCCACACAGCAGGAUAGGACGGACGGGAGCUCGGACCAAUCAGAGCGCGAGUUACCUCAGAGAGAGCUGGGACGAGAGAUCGGCCCAAUCAGAGAGCGAGUUCCCACAGGGCAGGAGAGGACGGACGGGAGUUCGGACCAAUCAGAGAGCGAGUUGCCACAGGGAAGGAUAGGACGGACGGAAGCUCGGGCCAAUCAGAGAGCGAGUUACCUCAGAGAGAGGUGGGACGGGACCUCGGCCCAAUCAGAGAUCGAGUUGCCACAGGGCAGGAGAGGACGGACGGGAGUUCGGACGAAUCAGAGAGAGAGAGGCCACAGGGAAGGAUAGGACGGACGGAAGCUCGGACCAAUCAGAGAGCGAGUUGCCACAGGGCAGGGUAGGAAGGACGGGAGCUCGGACCAGUCAGAGAGCGAGUUGCCUCAGAGAGAGGUGGGACGGGAAGUCGGCCCAAUCAGAGAGCGAGUUACCUCAGAGUGAGGUGGGACGAGAGAUCGGCCCAAUCAGAGAGCGAGUUCCCACAGGGCAGGAGAGGACGGACGGGAGUUCGGACCAAUCAGAGAGCGAGUUGCCACAGGGAAGGAUAGGACGGACGGAAGCUCGGGCCAAUCAGAGAGCGAGUUACCUCAGAGAGAGGUGGGACGGGACCUCGGCCCAAUCAGAGAUCGAGUUGCCACAGGGCAGGAGAGGACGGACGGGAGUUCGGACGAAUCAGAGAGAGAGAGGCCACAGGGAAGGAUAGGACGGACGGAAGCUCGGACCAAUCAGAGAGCGAGUUGCCACAGGGCAGGGUAGGAAGGACGGGAGCUCGGACCAGUCAGAGAGCGAGUUGCCUCAGAGAGAGGUGGGACGGGAAGUCGGCCCAAUCAGAGAGCGAGUUACCUCAGAGUGAGGUGGGACGAGAGAUCGGCCCAAUCAGAGAGCGAGUUCCCACAGGGCAGGAGAGGACGGACGGGAGUUCGGACCAAUCAGAGAGCGAGUUGCCACAGGGAAGGAUAGGACGGACGGAAGCUCGGGCCAAUCAGAGAGCGAGUUACCUCAGAGAGAGGUGGGACAGGACCUCGGCCCAAUCAGAGAGCGAGUUGCCACAGGGCAGGAGAGAACGGACGGGAGCUCGGACCAAUCAGAGAGCGAGUUACCUCAGAGAGAGGUGGGACGAGAGAUCGGCCCAAUCAGAGAGCGAGUUGCCACAGGGCAGGAGAGGACGGACGGGAGUUCGGACCAAUCAGAGAGCGAGUUCCCACAGGGAAGGAUAGGACGGACGGAAGCUCGGCCCAAUCAGAGAGCGAGUUGCCACAGGGCAGGAGAGGACGGACGGGAGCUCGGACCAAUCAGAGAGCGAGUUACCUCAGAGAGAGGUGGGACGGAGGAGCGCGGCCAACGUCAGGAAGGAAGGUGAGACAUUGAGGUGAAAAGCGCAGAUUGGCGGAGAAAAAAGACCCCCCCAGAGACCCACAGCAACAUAUAAUGUCCCGUGGAGACCCCACAGAGCCCCACAGCGCCCCAAGGAGACCCACAGAGAUCCCAUAGAGACCCACAGAGACUCCACGCUGCGACCCGCCAUGAGACCCCGUUGGUCGCCCCAGGCCCCGCCCCACGGCCCCGCCGGCCAAUCAGAGCGCCCGUAGCCCCACGGAGGGCCGCCCCGGCGAAUAGGGGCAGCGGAACCAUAAACCGUAGGUCAACGCGUGCCCCGCCCACCCGAGCCCCGCCCCCAACCCCGCCCCGGGAGCCGAAAUGGCCGCCAGCGCCCCCUGCAGGAGGAGCAGCAGGGCCGCGUUCAGCAGGAACAGCAGGAAGUGCGGGGUGGAGGCUGAAGGGCCUCUUCCGGUGCUCGCCGCCCCGCUUCCGGUCUGGGGGAGGCCGCUUCCGGUCCCAAGGGACUCACCCGGGGCUCUCAGGAGGCCGCUUCCGGUCCCAAAGGUCUCACCCCGGGCACUCAGGAGGCCGCUUCCGGUCGCUGUCGCCCCGCUUCCGGUUUCCGGCUCUCCACUUCCGUUCCCGUCCCUCCACCGUCUCCACUCGGUCAUCCCGGCUCUGAGCUCGGCCGCGCUCCUUCCGCUUUCCGCCACCCCACUUCCGGUUCCCGCCGUCCGUCUUCCGCCUUCCCCCGUCUUCUCCGUCCCCCCGGCGGCCGCCAUCUUGCCUCCACCCCCCCUUCCUCCCCCGCCCCACCGGGAAGCGGCGGCCGCCGCCAUCUUGAACAGCACCGCCCCCCCCCUCGCCGCCAUCUUACCCCCCCACCCCGCCGCCAUCUUGAAGACGACCCACACCGCUCCCAACGCUUUCCAGCCCGGACCGGGAGCCGCCGUCACGUCGGCCACCGAGCCAACCGGAAGCGCUCCCGAGCGGCUCCUGACGUCACUUCCGGCGUGCGGCGGAUGGAGGAGCCUCCCGAGCGGCCCCAGCUCUUCCCCCAUCGCCAAGCCGCACAGCACGAGGGCGAAAGCGUGGGGCGAAGGGCUCAGCCCCACGGCGGAACGGAUGGAGGCGAAGAGGGGAGGGGCGGCGGCCGCCAUGAUGGCGGAAGUGACGGCGCAGCGGGCGGCGGCGCGGAACAGCGCCCCCCAGCGGGCGGAGGCCGGGCGGACCAAUGGCAGCGAAGCGAUCAGCAGCGAUCCGACCAAUAGCGACGUCCAGCGGCCCACCGACGGCAACAGGCGGCUGUGGGGCGGGGUGGGGAAACGACACGUUGGGGCACAAGGAUUGACCCAUAGAUUGACCCAUAGAUUGGCCCAUAGGGACAUAUAGGGACCCUUAGGGACACAUUGAGACCCAUAGGGACACACUGAGACCCAUAGAGACCCACAGCGCCCCAUAGAGCCCCCAUAGAGCCCAACAGACACCCCAUAGAGCCCCACAGUGCCCCAUAGAGCCCCAUAGAGACCCCAUAGCACCCCAUAGAGCCCCAUAGAAUCCCACAGCGCCCCAUAAGUUCCCCAUAGGGUCCCACCGUCAGCAUCAGCCCCAACUCCGCCAUCCGGGCCGGGAAUGUGGCCAGGAGUUCCUUGGUCUGUGGGGCAGAAACGUGUGGGGCGCCCCAUAGAUCUGCGCCCCAUAGAUCCCUGCUGCCCCAUACAUGGGACCCAUUGCAUGCCCCAUAGGGACCCACUGAGACCCAUAGAUUGACCCAUAGGGACCCAUAGGGACACAUAGGGACCCACAGGGACACAUUGAGACCCAUAGACAACCAUAGGGACCCAUAGAUUGACAUAUAGGGACCCAUAGAGACACAUAGGGACGCAUAGAGACCCAUAGACAACCAUUGAGACCCGUAGGGACACAUAGAGACCCAUAGAUUGACCCAUAGAGACACAUAGGGACGCAUAGAGACCCAUAGACAACCAUUGAGACCCAUAGGGACCCAUAGAGAUCAAGGGGGACACAUAGAGACCCAUAGAUUGACCCAUAGGGACCCAUAGGGACACAUACGGACACAUAGAUACCCAUAGAUUGACCCAUAGAGACACAUAGGGACACAUAGAGACCCAUAGGGACCCAUAGGGACACAUAAGGACUCAUAGAGACACAUAGGGACCCAUAGAGACCCAUAGGGACCCCAUAGAGACCCAUAGAUUGACCCACAGGGACCCAUAGAGACACAUAGGGACGCAUAGAGACCCAUAGACAACCAUUGAGACCCAUAGAGACCCAUAGGGACCCAUAGGGACCCAUAGAGACCCACAGACAACCAUUGGGACCCAUAGGGACCCAUAGAUUGACCCAUAGGGACCCAUAGAGACACAUAGACAACCAUAGGGACCCAUAGAGACCCAUAGAUUGACCCAUAGAUUGACCCUUAGGGACACAUAGGGACCCAUAGGGACACAUUGAGACCCAUAGACAACCAUAGGGACCCAUAGGGACCCAUAGGGACCCAUUGAGCCCAAUAGAUUGACCCAUAGGGACCCACUGAGACCCACAGAUUGACCCAUAGGGACCCAUAGAGACACAUAAGGACUCAUAGAGACACAUUGGGACCCAUUGAGACCCAUAGGGACCCAUAGAGACCCAUAGAUUGACCCAUAGAGACACAUAGGGACACAUAGAGACCCAUAGGGACCCAUAGGGACCCAUAGAUUGACCCAUAGAGACACAUAGGGACCCAUAGAGACACAUUGGGACCCAUAGAGACCCAUAGGGACCCAUAGUGACCCCAUAGAGACCCACAGAGCUCCCCCAGCCCCAUAGCUCACCCAUAACCACCCCCCAUCCCCAUAGCUCACCCCAUAACCACCUCCCAGCCCCAUAGCCCACCCCAUAACCACCCCCCAGCCCCAUAGCUCACCCUCCAGCCCCAUACCUCACCCCCCAGCCCCAUAACUCACCCCAUAACCACCCUCCAGCCCCAUAGCUCACCCCAUAGCCACCCCCCAGCCCCAUAGCUCACCCCAUAGCCACCCUCCAGCCCCAUAACAGCCCCCCAGCCCCAUAGCUCACCCCAUAACCACCCUCCAGCCCCAUAGCUCACCCCAUAGCCAUGCUCCCCCCAGCCCCAUAGCUCACCCCAUAGCCACCCUCCAGCCCCAUAGCUCACCCUGCAGCCCCAUAGCUCACCCCAUAACCACCCCCAGCCCCAUAACUCACCCCAUAGCUCACCUCCCAGACCCAUAACAGCCCCCCAGCCCCAUAACUCACCCCAUAGCUCACCUCCCAGCCCCAUAGCUCACCCCCAGCCCCAUAGCUCACCCCAUAGCCACUCCCCAGCCCCAUAGCUCACCCCAUAGCCACCCUCCAGCCCCAUAGCUCACCCCAUAGCCACCCUCCAGCCCCAUAACAGCC
ensembl:lncRNA